CCAGCAGCCGCGGUAAUACGUAGGGUGCGAGCGUUGUCCGGAAUUAUUGGGCGUAAAGAGCUCGCUCUCUUUGUAUGUCGCGUCGGAAGUGAAAACGCGGGGCUUAACCCGGAGCCUGCUUUCGAUACGGGCAGACUGGAGGGAUGCAGGGGAGAAUGGAAUUCCUGGUGUAGCGGUGAAAUGCGCAGAUAUCAGGAGGAACACCGGUGGCGAAGGCGGGUCUCUGGGCCUGUCCUGACGCUGAGGAGCGAAAGCGUGGGGAGCGAACAGGAUUAGAUACCCUGGUAGUCCACGCCGUAAACUUUUUUUUUCUAGGUGUGGGACUCAUUCCACGAGUUCCGGGCCGCAGCUAACGCAUUAAGCGCCCCGCCUGGGGAGUACGGCCGCAAG
rnacentral:rRNA from 1 species